GCAGCCGAUCUGUUGGAGAUCAAACAGAUCAGACCCGACGACACCACCACUACAGAGAUCAAACAGAUCGGACCCAAACUUACUCUGUUACCGCCAUCGUAAAUUAACAAAGAAGACAACGAGUUUGAAUAAUUCUUAGCUAAAUUAAGCAAAACUAAAGCAAAAAAUUGACCUGCAAAUCUUCAAUUCGAGCUCGUGAAGGUUCAGAUCGUUUUUCUCCCAACCGAAAAGCCAAUCAUGCUAGAGACUUGCGGUACAUUAAUUGCUACUCUCCCAUUUUAGAUGCAUAUCAGCCUUUGGAUCAAGUUAAAAUGAAAUCAUGGCCGCGUUAAUUCAACAAAAGCUUCUAGAAGGGGAGGUUGAGGGCGGUUUUUUCAUUCCAUCAAUUUCUCCCCCACGUCGCUCUGAAACCUCUUCAAAUGUUGCGUCACUCUCAUCACAUCUAUCUACAUUUACAUAUCGCAAAACAGGGAACAAGCAGAGAUAUGGGGUUUCUUUCAAACAGAGUUGGGAGUAUUAAUUUGUAGAGAUCUGCGGGGUGGAACGUCGGUCACGGAAUUUGUGAAUUGAGAAGAGGUAUGUUUCUUCUUAAAAAUUCAAUGUUUCAUCUUAUCUUCUUAGGUUCUGCUUCUGCACAAUUUUUUUUUCUAUUUUGUUUCGAUUUGAAGUGGUGAUUUUUCCUAUUUCAGUUCAUUUGUUUAGGGAUUUUAGGUUUUUCAAUUUGUUUAACGUAUUGAAGGUUUAAUUUGUGUUUGGAUAUUUCAGAUUAGGGUUUCUAUGAAUACUAACAGUUUCCUAUCAAUUAUUACAAAAGGUAUUUCAAACCUUCUCAUUUCUACUCGUAUGCUUUUAGUUCUAAUUGGUUAUGUAGGGUGCAUUGUGUAGAAAGUGGUGAAGAAAGCAUACAGAGACAAUUAAUUUAUUCUCUAUAAUGCCACAUAUCAUAGGCAAUGAUCAUUUGCUCGAGGGGUUGAAGCAUAUUCAUAACAAAGAGCAAGCAAAAACAGUUACAACUGUUUCAAAUUCUUUACAACAAUCAAGUUACAGUUUCGAGCGCUAAUGCCACGGUGGCUUGGGAAGCCGGAAAGCCGCUGAUGAUUGAAGAAGUGGAGGUGGCACCACAACAGAAAAUGGAAGUAUGAAUUAAGAUCCUCUUCACUUCCCUCUGCCACACCGAUGUUUAGUAUCGGGAAGCCAAAGGGCAACAUCCUGUCUUUCCUUGGAUUUAGGAGUUGAUGCUAGAGGGGUUGUGGAGAGUGCAUGGGAAUGAGUGACAAAUCUACAGCCAGGGGAGAUGAAUUUUGUUAACAUGAACAUGUGUGACCUUCUCAGGAUCAACACUAACUAAAGUUUGUGUCCUCAGCUGUGGGAUCUCCACAUGUUAGGUGCUCCUUUGAACGUUGUAAAACCGAUGAAAGGUUCUUCUGUGGCCGUUUUCGGUUUGGGAGCUGUGGACUUACUGAUGCUGAAGGUGCAAGAAUUGCUGGUGUUUCAAGAACCAUUAUAGUUGAUCUCCUUGCCAAUAGAUUACAAGAAAUCGGUGCAAACAGCGUAAAUUUGAAGAGAUUUGGGGUUUGAGUUUGUGGACCCAAAAGAUUACAAGAAGCCGGUGCAAGAAAUGAUUGCAGAGAGGACAAAUGGAGGAGUUGACAGGAUUGUUGAAUGCACUGGUCAUAUUGAUGCUAUGAUCUUUGCCUUUGAAGGUGUUAUGAUAUAUGAAUUCACCUUAGACAUACCCUUUGCAUGCCCAUUUAUAUGUGUUUUUUAAUAAUGUUUUGUGGUGAUAUAAUUUUGGUGUAGGGUCGGGGAGUAGCUGUUUUGUGGGUGUUCCACAUAAAAAAUGUUGUCUUCCCUUUGAAUCUGUUGAACGAAAGGACUUUAAAAGUGUUGACCUUUUUUGUAACUA